GAACAUAACCCUUUUUUCUUUCAUUGGUGCAGAUGGAACUGAUACAACAUAAGCUCUCUUUUUUUUCCCUUCUUCUUAUCAUUACAACAUUACAGCUUUCUACGCCCUUAAAAUACUUGUAUGUUUCAUCUAUAUAUAUUUUCUUGCUAAACAAAGAAAAUAAAAAAAAAGUAAAAAGUAAAAGUAAAAUAGGAUGCAUCAUAGGUGGAAAAGCUAGCUUUUGCUUUGCCAAUCUGGUCUUCCUAAGGAAAACUCCAAACUUGGAGUCUCAAGUAAUUGAUUACAGAGUAAUCUAAAGGUUCUUGAUUGAGCUAAAUCACUUUCCUCGAAUUGGUUUUCGGAUGCUUGUUGAGAUGAUAGGUUUUCUGGUCGUCUAAGCCCUUCCAGAUUCCUUGAACCGCUAUGCAGCCAUCUUUCUCUGCUGCAAAAAAUCCCAAAUAAUAAUCAGUUACUAUCUCUUCUUCAAUUUCUUAUCAACUUUCUGUUGCACCAAAUAAUAAUAUGUGUAAGGUAGUGUUUUUUUUCAAUAACAACUCAACAGCAACGCCAAACGAAUCUUAAAAAGUAAGUUGUAUAUCAAAAUAAGUUAAGUUUGAAAAGCUUAAGAUAGCAAAAAAGAUCAUAUCAUCCUUUUGCACUGGCAUUUCUACAGAUCCUACUUACUAUAUAAUGAUUUAAUGGUAGGAAACAGCAUGCUAGAGCUUGCUUUUGAAGGGUUCUAGUUAAAGCAAGCAUUGGGAUAUGAUGCUUUGUUUCAGAAAUUAUGUACUUAAAGAGUUAUAUGUGGGGUUUAAUUAGAAUAUUACAAAAAUAUAGUAACUUGAUGGUUUUACAAGUUUGAUAUGUUGGACUAAUGCAAUUAUUGAAAUAUGAUUCUUUUUUUCUUGGUUCACAAGUGAUCGCAGAAACCUGUAAAACACCAGAGGUUAGAAGAGAAGAAGAAGAUAGUUCUAUGUUUUGCUUCCAUUUUGAUAAAAGAGGAAAAUAUUUCCACCUGCCUGUUACAUGCCCUAGUGCUCUACUUCAGUCACUGAAUGUGGUGGCUUCGUAUUUCUUGACAAGAAGGUGUUGAUUUCCAAGAAAAUUUUGCUAUGAUUUCCAGCUAGGCAAUAUGGAAAGCACGCAGUGAUAGAGUUUUUAAGCAGAAGGAUGUUCUAGAUUCUCAGGUGGAAAGUAAAUCCAAAAGUUUCAAAAUUUUCUUCUAAAAUUAUAUACUCUUUUAUAUAAACAUUUGUGGAGUAAUUCAUUAUUUGUUGAAGAUGAAAAUAUCUAUCAUCUUGAGUUUUUCUGAGCUCUUAUUCAUUUGUGUAUGUUCCUAGAAAUACCAAUAAGAUAACUCAUUUAGUGAAUAGAUUGUAUCAUAAAAGCUUGGUAUUAAAUUCAAUUAGAUUUUUU
rnacentral:misc_RNA from 1 species